AAGGAUAUUUAACAGACAAUAAAGGAAUACUAUGAACAACUUCUGCUCACAAAUUUGAUAACUUGGAUGAAAUGGACUAAUUCCUUGAAAGACUCAUGUUGCCAAAAGUUACACCAGAAGAAACAGAGAAUCUGGUUAUGUCUCUGUCUCUGUGUGUGUGUCUCUCUCUCUCUCUCCCUCUUCCUCUCUCUCUCUCUCUGUAUAUAUAUAUGUAUAUAUAUAAUUGAAUCAAUAAUUAAUAACCCUCCAAAGCAGAAAUUCUCAGGCCCAGGUGGGUUCACUGGUGAAUUCUACCAAACAUUUAAGGAAGGAAGAAACUAUAGCAGUUUUCUAUAAUAUCUUUAAGAGAUAGAAGCAAAAGAUACAACUCUUCACUCAUUCUCUGAGACCAGAAUUACCCUGGUAACAAAACCAGACAAAGGCAUUAUGAGAAAACUACAGCUGUGAUACUGGUCUCAUGAGCACUGAUGUAAAAAUUCUCAACAAAAAUUAGCAAAUUGAAUCUAGCAAUGUAUAAAAAUAUUAUAUACCACAAUCAAGUGAUAUUUAUCCCAGGUAUACAGGGCUGUUUCAACAUUUAAAAAUCAGUUAAUGUAAUCCAUCACUUC